rnacentral:misc_RNA from 1 species
GUUACGUUACACCGACACGUAGUAUACGGUCCGUAUAAUGACCAUAAAGUUCUUGAACAAAUUGCGACACGAGUACUGGAUUCACAAUUUCAGUUUACCUCACUACAACGUAUCUACCCGUAGGCGUGUUCGACCAAAAAAUCCACAAGAAAAUCCGUGCUUGUUAUCGACGUAAUCUUGAGUUUGGAGAACAGCGAACAUCGAGAUUUUCUGAUACCGCUCUUCCAGGAUUAUGAGAAAUCAUAGGUAUGAACAAUGAAAAAGUUCUUUUGGAACGAUAGCAGCAACAGAGGAUGAACCAACAGUCCAACU